ACAACGGAGAGUUUGAUCCUGGCUCAGGACGAACGCUGGCGGCGGGCUUAACACAUGCAAGUCGAACGAGACCUUCGGGUCUAGUGGCGCACGGGUGCGUAACACGUAGGUAACCUGCCCUGGAGUGGGGAAUAACUCAUCGAAAGGUGAGCUAAUACCGCAUAUUGACUAUUGAGGACAUCCUCAACAGUUGAAAGCUAUAUGCGCUCCAGGAUGGGCCUGCGGCGGAUUAGGUAGUUGGUAGGGUAAUGGCCUACCAAGCCGACGAUCCGUAGCUGGUCUGAGAGGAUGAUCAGCCACACUGGCACUGAGACACGGGCCAGACUCCUACGGGAGGCAGCAGUGAGGAAUAUUGCGCAAUGGGGGAAACCCUGACGCAGCCACGCCGCGUGGAGGAUGACACUGCUCUGCAGCGUAAACUCCUUUUAUAUGGGAAGAAUGGCGCAGUUGCUGCGACGUGACGGUACCAUAUGAAUAAGCACCGGCUAACUCCGUGCCAGCAGCCGCGGUAAUACGGAGGGUGCAAGCGUUGUCCGGAAUCACUGGGUGUAAAGGGUGUGUAGGCGGAACGGUCAGUCGGAGGUGAAAGCCUGCAGCUUAACUGCAGAACUGCCCCCGAUACUGCCGAUCUUGAGUCCCGGAGGGGUGGCUGGAAUUCGUGGUGUAGCGGUGAAAUGCGUAGAUAUCACGAGGAACACCUAAGGCGUAGGCAGGUCACUGGACGGGUACUGACGCUGAGGCACGAAAGUGUGGGGAGCAAACAGGAUUAGAUACCCUGGUAGUCCACACCGUAAACUAUGGACGCUCGGUGUUGCGGUCUUAUGACUGCAGUGCCUAAGCAAACGCGUUAAGCGUCCCACCUGGGGAGUACGCUCGCAAGAGUGAAACUCAAAGGAAUUGACGGGGACCCGCGCAAGCGGUGGAGCAUGUGGAUUAAUUCGAUGCAACGCGAAGAACCUUACCCAGGCUCGAACGCUACCGGACAGCUCCUGAAAGGGAGUCUUCUUCGGACUGGUAGCGAGGUGCUGCAUGGCUGUCGUCAGUUCGUGUCGUGAGAUGUUGGGUUAAG
rnacentral:rRNA from 1 species